rnacentral:rRNA from 1 species
GUGGGGAAUAUUGGACAAUGGAGGCAACUCUGACGCAGCCAUGCCGCGUGCAGGAAGAAGGCGCUACGCGUUGUAAACUGCUUUUAACCGGGAAGAAACCCCAGGACGUGUCCUGGGUUGACGGUACCGGAGGAAUAAGCACCGGCUAACUUCGUGCCAGCAGCCGCGGUAAUACGAAGGGUGCAAGCGUUAUCCGGAUUCAUUGGGUUUAAAGGGUGCGUAGGCGGAGCGUUAAGUCAGUGGUGAAAUCCUGCAGCUUAACUGUAGACUUGCCAUUGAUACUGGCGCUCUUGAGUGCGCUUGAAGUGGGCGGAAUGUGCCGUGUAGCGGUGAAAUGCUUAGAUAUGGCACAGAACACCAAUUGCGAAGGCAGCUCACUAAGGCGAUACUGACGCUGAGGCACGAAAGCGUGGGGAUCGAACAGGAUUAGAAACCCUGGUAGUCC